CAUACCUUUGCCCAUUAUCCAAAUCGUGUGGCCAUGGAAACUCAUAUUUCUUCUCCGUUCUUUCUCUCUCCUUGGGUUAGGGUUAGGAUUUCAUCUCCAAAAUUCCCAUGGCGACAACCUCCAAGCUCUCCGCAGCGCUCCUCUCUACUUCUCUUCUGCCCCGCCGGAAAUCGCUACCUCACCACCGCCCGAUCUCUGUCGGAAAAUUCACCUCCAUACAUUCUCCUGUAAGCUUUCGGCGGAUCUCAGAAACCACCAGAAAGAUCAUCUGUAAGGCGACGGAGGUUUCUGUUGCUGAAGAAUCCCCGGCCUCUGGCGAUGGGAAGAACUGGGUGCCGGUGGUUCCACUGGCGGCACUGCCAAGGGGAGAGCGGCGUGUGAUUAUUCAGGAUGAGGAGACGAUUCUGCUGCUUUGGUAUAAAGAUGAGGUUUUUGCGAUAGAGAAUCGGUCCCCUGCUGAAGGAGCUUACAGCGAAGGGCUAAUCAAUGCGAAGCUGACACAGGAUGGCUGCAUAGUUUGCCCCACAACAGAUAGCACAUUUGACCUUAGAACUGGGGAAGUCAAGGAAUGGUACCCUAAAAACCCUGUUCUGAGAGUCCUCACUCCUGCUCUGCGUACACUUUUCGUUUAUCCCGUGAAAACUGAUGCAGAAAACAUUUACAUCAGCACGGGAGGAAGCAUCAAAUCUGGAGUUUCUGCUGAGAUUGUCUUUAGUGGGAGAGCUCAACCUGGCAUAACUGCAUCAGAUGUCAAUGUGGAUGAGGUUAGAAUGGUAGUGGAUGAGGAUGUGGGGGGGUUCGGUUUCACAGGAAAGAAUGAAUUGAUUAAUGGGAAGGCUGCUGUAAUUGGCUUCCUAUUGCUGUUAGAUUUUGAGCUCUUGACUGGUAAAGGCCUUCUCAAGGGAACUGGCUUCUUAGAUUUUCUCUACGCAGCUUCAAGGGCUUUCAAUUCCUUCUAGACAUUCAACUGCUUUUCUCACAAAGGUGUUCUAGCAAGAAGUUCCUGAACAACAAAGAGAAAUGGAGGGUGACUCAUUGGUGGUGAGUAAUACCAUCAUGGGAGGUGGAAAGUGUAGUCAGAGUUGCAAGGUUGUGCCAGAGAGGCUCGGAUGCAUGUGCCAUCUGCCAUUCUCAAGGCAGGCAAGGGUUGCUGAGACGCCGGCUUUGAUGCUUCUUAGAUCACUCCCUCCUUUGUGUUGUUUUGGAUGUUGUGUGCGGUUCCAGUUAUUAUGUACUAGGGGUAUGGGCUUUAGUUAUUAUGUACUAGGGGUAGUCUGUGGGGCCCAUGAUGUUUUAAGUGUAAAAUCCACUCUGCUUAUUCGAUUCUAUACUCUAA